rnacentral:snRNA from 1 species
GGAUGUGAGGGCAAUCUGGCUGCAGUCUCCAUUACGUCAUGGGUCACCAUGGUUGAUUCUGUUCCCUUACUCCUUCACAGCUCUAUGCACAUUCUUCCCAAAGGUCAAAGAGGACAACCUGCCCCCAAAGACAGGAGAAUUAACAUUCAGUCAAGGUAUAGAGUAGUGUACCUCCCCUCUAAAACCUCCAAACAAGCCCUCCAUGUUGCAACAAGUGUCCUACAAGAGAGAAAAGCACUUAGUCUGAGAAGGUCUUGUGAGGGCAAGACAAAGAACAGAAUCAAAGGAAGAGGAGAAUAGACUUU